GACGAACCGUGCGAACGUUGUUCGGAAUUACUGGGCGUAAAGCGCACGUAGGCGGCUUUGCAAGUUAGAGGUGAAAGCCCGGGGCUCAACCCCGGAAUUGCCUUUAAAACUGCAUCGCUAGAAUUGUGGAGAGGUAAGUGGAAUUCCGAGUGUAGAGGUGAAAUUCGUAGAUAUUCGGAAGAACACCAGUGGCGAAGGCGACUUACUGGACACAUAUUGACGCUGAGGUGCGAAAGCGUGGGGAGCAAACAGG
rnacentral:rRNA from 1 species